CCAAUAGCGUAUAUUAAAGUUGUUGCAGUUAAAAAGCUCGUAGUUGAAUUUCGGGAUCAAGGAAUCGGUCAUGCCUUGGUACGUACUGGUUUUAUUGGUUCUCACCUUCUAAAGAACCAUAAUGUCAUUUAUUUGAUGUUAUGGGGAAUUAGGACUGUUACCUUGAAAAAAUUAGAGUGUUUAAAGCAAGCUUACGCUUGAAUACAUUAGCAUGGAAUAAUGAAAUAGGACAUCAGAUUCUAUUUUGUUGGUUUCUAGGAUCGAUGUAAUGAUUAAUAGGGAUAGUUGGGGGCAUUAGUAUUCAAUUGUCAGAGGUGAAAUUCUUGGAUUUAUUGAAGACUAACUACUGCGAAAGCAUUUGCCAAGGAUGUUUUCAUUAAUCAAGAACGAAAGUUAGGGGAUCGAAGACGAUCAGAUACCGUCGUAGUCUUAACCAUAAACUAUGCCGACUAGGGAUCGGAUGAUGUUAAUUUUUUAAUGACUCAUUCGGCACCUUACG
rnacentral:rRNA from 1 species